rnacentral:rRNA from 1 species
CCCUUAGAUGUUCUGGGCCGCACGCGCGCUACACUGAUGCAUUCAACGAGUCUAAAACCUGCUCUGAUAGGGGUGGGCAAUCUUUUGAAUGUGCAUCGUGAUUGGGAUAGAUGAUUGCAAUUUUUCAUCUUCAACGAGGAAUGCCUAGUAAACGCAAGUCAUCAGCUUGCAUUGAUUACGUCCCUGCCCUUUGUACACACCGCCCGUCGCUCCUACCGAUUGAAUGAUCCGAUGAAUAUCAUGGAUUGAGGAUGCAAGUAGGUUCGCCUAUCUUCAUCUUCGAGAAGUGAAGUAAAUCUUAUCAUUUAGAGGAAGGAGAAGUCGUAACA